GUGGGUAUAACUUAGUGAUAAAGCAUAUGCUUAGUACUCACGAGGUCCCGGGUUCAAUUCCCAGUACCUCCA
rnacentral:tRNA from 1 species